GACGAACGCUGGCGGCGUGCCUAAUACAUGCAAGUAGGACGCAGUUGCGAACGGGUGAGUAACGCGUAGGUAAUUCCCUAUUAGAGGGGGAUAAUUAUAGGAAACGAUAGCUAAUACCGCAUACUAGAAGAUGGAACUGCGUUGUAUUAGCUAGUAGGUGGGGUAAUGCCCUACCUAGGCAACGAUACAUAGCCGACCUGGAAGAGUGAUCGGCCACACUGGGACUGAGACACGGCCCAGAUUCCUACGGGGGGCAGCGGUAGGGAAUCUUCGGCAAUGGCGAAAACCCUGACCGGGCAACGCCGCGUGAGUUAAAAGGGUUUUCGGAUCGUAAAGCUCUGUUGUAAGAGAAGCGGUAUCUUACCAGAAAGCCACGGCUAACUACGUGCCAGCAGCCGCGGUAAUAC
rnacentral:rRNA from 1 species